rnacentral:misc_RNA from 1 species
GGUGCACAAAUUUCUUCAUACUUUCUACAACCAUGAUUUUUAAGAACCAAAUAAUAGAUACAAUUAGUAAAACAUAAAACUAUCAACAACAAUAGUAGUAAUUGUGUUUCUGUGUACAACAAUAACAAUUAAGUCUUAAUGUAUUUGCCAUUGAUUAUAUGAACCCUUGAUGUAUUUUUGUGUACAUCACAAAAAUUUUGAAGGGGAUGGAUGGUGUUGGGAUUUGAGCCCCUGUCCUCCCAGACUACUUCUUUUUGUUACUUUUGAAAUAUGACCUUCUAUACUAUCAAACGAGGACUUGUACCAAAAUGUUUUGAGCAUAUUAACCUCCACACUCUACAAAAAAAUUGCAAAAAUAAAGAGGGAGAUGUAAACAUGUCUAGUGCAUCAAAUUUAGCAUCAUCUAGUAGCCAAAUAUACGUCAAGAAAUUUUUAAAGUACAAUUCAGCACCUAAUGAAUUUUUUGCCAUACUGUGUUAAUUACGUCAAGGGUUUCCAUCACCAUUGAUCAUCAUUUUGUUAUCAUCAUUAGACUUGUACCAACUGUAAUGUGACCUCAAAACUUGAAGAAAACAAGCACAUUUCAUUUCACUAAAU